AGAUAAUUGAGAUUCUAAUUUGAGCUUAAUUAUCUCCCAAACACAAAGGCUUUUGGGAAGAAACCCCUGUGUUCUUGAUGUGAAAACCCCAUGCUAGAGGCCAGUGCAUAAAAGCUGUGAGUGGCAGAAUUCACAGUUGUACUCCCAGAACUGUGGGUCGUCCAGUUACUGGGGAGGAGGUGGGCUAUUUACUCAGCUGUAUCUUGUUCCUGAUAUCUACUCUUGGUGAUCCAGUGAAGGAAAGUCCUGGUCAGGACUAGGGCUCCGCUCCGC